GAUGAACGCUGGCGGCGUGCCUAAUACAUGCAAGUCGAGCGAACGGACGAGAAGCUUGCUUCUCUGAUGUUAGCGGCGGACGGGUGAGUAACACGUGGAUAACCUACCUAUAAGACUUGGAUAACUUCGGGAAACCGGAGCUAAUACCGGAUAAUAUUUUGAACCGCAUGGUUCAAAAGUGAAAGACGGUCUUUCUGUCACUUAUAGAUGGAUCCGCGCUACAUUAGCUAGUUGGUAAGGUAACGGCUUACCAAGGCAACGAUGCAUAGCCGACCUGAGAGGGUGAUCGGCCACACUGGAACUGAGACACGGUCCAGACUCCUACGGGAGGCAGCAGUAGGGAAUCUUCCGCAAUGGGCGAAAGCCUGACGGAGCAACGCCGCGUGAGUGAUGAAGGUCUUCGGAUCGUAAAACUCUGUUAUUAGGGAAGAACAUAUGUGUAAGUAACUGUGCACAUCUUGACGGUACCUAAUCAGAAAGCCACGGCUAACUACGUG
rnacentral:rRNA from 1 species